rnacentral:misc_RNA from 1 species
CCUCAUCUAUUCCUGAUGACGUAUGGGCACCUGAAGCCACAAAAGGCAACCCAGAGCUAUGUACCGAGAGUUUUUGGCUUCAAGAUCCACAAACCUUGAGAUGGAGUUUGAGCUGCAGACGAUUCUAUUUGAAGGUGUCCCAUUGGUGUUGGUCCACACACUCUGCCUUGUUUUUGGUAGUCCAAGUGUUAUUAAGUUAACAAACAAGGUACAGGUGCAGCUGUUCUGAAGCGAUUAGAAUUGAUUUGAUUUGAUGGAAAUGUUUAAAAUG